CUAUAAGUAGUUGCAACCUUCAGUCCUUAAUUUUCCUGUUUCCUGUUACGUCUCAGCAGCCGUCGACUAGGGUUCUGAAUCAAGGGAGGGUGCAGGGUUCGGUUCACCAUGAGAGCCAAGUGGAAGAAGAAGCGUAUGAGGAGGCUGAAGAGGAAGCGCCGAAAGAUGAGACAGAGAUCCAAGUAGUGCGUUCUUUUUUCUCUCCAACAAUUGAUCUUAGUUUUUUUCCAGUUGAUUAUGUUGUCAAAUGGGACACCCAGUUAGUUAACAGUACUGGUCUCUCCUUUUUGAUGUUUUGAUAAGUGUUCUGUUCAUCUUAUCUUAUAUUAGCUUUAAACAAUGAUGUUCCUAUGCGACUCUAGAAGCUUUUAUAUAUUUCAUUUCUGAUUCUCU